GGCGAUUCUCAGGUGACACACCUUGGAAUUGGGCUCCCUCCUCUCUGGUUCUGGGUGUGUCACCUGAGAACCACA
rfam:Myotis davidii contig8225, whole genome shotgun sequence.